rnacentral:rRNA from 1 species
UGCAGUCGUACGCUUCUUUUUCCACCGGAGCUUGCUCCACCGGAAAAAGAAGAGUGGCGAACGGGUGAGUAACACGUGGGUAACCUGCCCAUCAGAAGGGGAUAACACUUGGAAACAGGUGCUAAUACCGUAUAACAAUCGAAACCGCAUGGUUUUGAUUUGAAAGGCGCUUUCGGGUGUCGCUGAUGGAUGGACCCGCGGUGCAUUAGCUAGUUGGUGAGGUAACGGCUCACCAAGGCCACGAUGCAUAGCCGACCUGAGAGGGUGAUCGGCCACAUUGGGACUGAGACACGGCCCAAACUCCUACGGGAGGCAGCAGUAGGGAAUCUUCGGCAAUGGACGAAAGUCUGACCGAGCAACGCCGCGUGAGUGAAGAAGGUUUUCGGAUCGUAAAACUCUGUUGUUAGAGAAGAACAAGGAUGAGAGUAACUGUUCAUCCCUUGACGGUAUCUAACCAGAAAGCCACGGCUAACUACGUGCCAGCAGCCGCGGUAAUACGUAGGUGGCAAGCGUUGUCCGGAUUUAUUGGGCGUAAAGCGAGCGCAGGCGGUUUCUUAAGUCUGAUGUGAAAGCCCCCGGCUCAACCGGGGAGGGUCAUUGGAAACUGGGAGACUUGAGUGCAGAAGAGGAGAGUGGAAUUCCAUGUGUAGCGGUGAAAUGCGUAGAUAUAUGGAGGAACACCAGUGGCGAAGGCGGCUCUCUGGUCUGUAACUGACGCUGAGGCUCGAAAGCGUGGGGAGCAAACAGGAUUAGAUACCCUGGUAGUCCACGCCGUAAACGAUGAGUGCUAAGUGUUGGAGGGUUUCCGCCCUUCAGUGCUGCAGCUAACGCAUUAAGC